rnacentral:rRNA from 1 species
GUACGCUGGCGGCACGCUUAACACAUGCAAGUCGAACGAAGUAGCAAUACUUAGUGGCAGACGGGUGAGUAUAAUGUGGGAAUCUGCCUUUUGGUUUAGAAUAACUCGAGGAAACUUGAGCUAAUACUAGAUAAGCCCUUACGGGGAAAGCUUUAUGCGCCGAAAGAUGAGCCCGCACUUGAUUAGCUUGUUGGUGAGGUAAAAGCUCACCAAGGCAACGAUCAAUAGCUGUUCUUAGAGGAAGACCAGCCACAUUGGGACUGAGACACGGCCCAGACUCCUACGGGAGGCAGCAGUGGGGAAUCUUGCACAAUGGGGGAAACCCUGAUGCAGCGAUGCCGCGUGAGUGAAGAAGGCCCUUGGGUUGUAAAACUCUUUCGUCGGGGAAGAAAAUGACUGUACCCGAAUAAGAAGGUCCGGCUAACUUCGUGCCAGCAGCCGCGGUAAUACGAAGGGACCUAGCGUAGUUCGGAAUUACUGGGCUUAAAGAGCUCGUAGGUGGUUAGAGAAGUUGGUGGUGAAAUCCCAAGGCUUAACCUUGGAACUGCCAUCAAAACUUUUUAGCUAGAGUAUGAUAGAGGAAAGUGGAAUUUCUAGUGUAGAGGUGAAAUUCGUAGAUAUUAGAAAGAACACCAAAAGCGAAGGCAACUUUCUGGAUCAUUACUGACACUGAGGAGCGAAAGCAUGGGUAGCGAAGAGGAUUAGAUACCCUCGUAGUCCAUGCUGUAAACGAUGUGUGCUAGACGUUGGAAAUUUAAUUUUCAGUGUCGCAGCAAAAGCGUUAAGCACACCGCCUGGGGAGUACGACCGCAAGUAGCUAUGAUACG